rnacentral:tRNA from 1 species
GGGGUUGUGGCUCAGUAGUAUAGCACUUGCCUAGCAUGCAUGAGACAUUGGGUUCGAUCCUCAGCACCA